AAAGAUUUAGGAUAAUUAGACCAAGGACCUUCAAAGCCCUAAGAAGAAGUAGACCUUCUAAUCUUUGAC
rnacentral:tRNA from 1 species